rnacentral:rRNA from 1 species
UACGAAGGGGGCUAGCGUUGUUCGGAAUUACUGGGCGUAAAGCGCGCGCAGGCGGUUCUUCAAGUCAGUGGUGAAAGCCCGGAGCUCAACUCCGGAACUGCCAUUGAAACUGUAGAACUAGAGGAUGAGAGAGGUGAGUGGAAUUCCCAGUGUAGAGGUGAAAUUCGUAGAUAUUGGGAAGAACACCGGUGGCGAAGGCGGCUCACUGGCUCAUUUCUGACGCUCAGGCGCGACAGCGUGGGGAUCAAACAGG